rnacentral:rRNA from 1 species
GGGCGUAAAGCGCGCGCAGGUGGUUUCUUAAGUCUGAUGUGAAAGCCCACGGCUCAACCGUGGAGGGUCAUUGGAAACUGGGAGACUUGAGUGCAGAAGAGGAAAGUGGAAUUCCAUGUGUAGCGGUGAAAUGCGUAGAGAUAUGGAGGAACACCAGUGGCGAAGGCGACUUUCUGGUCUGUAACUGACACUGAGGCGCGAAAGCGUGGGGAGCAAACAGGAUUAGAUACCCUGGUAGUCCACGCCGUAAACGAUGAGUGCUAAGUGUUAGAGGGUUUCCGCCCUUUAGUGCUGAAGUUAACGCAUUAAGCACUCCGCCUGGGGAGUACGGCCGCAAGGCUGAAACUUAAAGGAAUUGGCGGG